AUUGAACGCUGGCGGCAGGCUUAACACAUGCAAGUCGAACGAGUGGAGGACGGGUGAGUAAUGCUUUGGAAUCUAGCUUAUGGACGGGUAUAACUACGGGAACCUUUAGCUAAAACCGCUAACCAUGGGAUGGGCCCACGUGGGAUUAGGUAGUUGGUGAGGUAAAGGCUCACCAAGCCGACGAUCCCUAGCUGGUCUGAGAGGAUGACCAGCCACACUGGGACUGAGACACGGCCCAGACUCCUACGGGAGGCAGCAGUGGGGAAUAUUGCGCAAUGGGGGCAACCUGACGCAGCCAUGCCGCGUGAAUGAAGAAGGCCUUCGGGUUGUAAAGUUCUUUCGGUAGAGAGGCGUUAUCUACAGAAGAAGCACCGGCUAACUCCGUGCCAGCAGCCGCGGUAAUAC
rnacentral:rRNA from 1 species